rnacentral:rRNA from 1 species
AGAGUUUGAUGAUGGCUCAGAUUGAACGCUGGCGGCAUGCUUAAUACAUGCAAGUCGAACGGUAACAUGCCCUCCGGGGUGAUGACGAGUGGCGGACGGGUGAGUAACGCAUAGGAAUCUACCUAGUAGUGGGGGACAACUUGGGGAAACUCAAGCUAAUACCGCAUACAUCCUACGGGAAAAAGAGGGCCUCUUCUUGAAAGCUCUUGCUAUUAGAUGAGCCUAUGUCAGAUUAGCUUGUUGGUGGGGUAACGGCCUACCAAGGCGACGAUCUGUAGCUGGUCUGAGAGGAUGAUCAGCCACACUGGGACUGAGACACGGCCCAGACUCCUACGGGAGGCAGCAGUAGGGGAUAUUGGACAAUGGGCGCAAGCCUGAUCCAGCAAUGCCGCGUGUGUGAAGAAGGCCUGCGGGUUGUAAAGCACUUUCAAUUAGGAAGAAAAGCUCAAGGUUAAUAACCUUGAGUCUUGACAUUAUCAAUAGAAGAAGCACCGGCUAACUCUGUGCCAGCAGCCGCGGUAAUACAGAGGGU